rnacentral:rRNA from 1 species
UACAGAGGGUGCGAGCGUUAAUCGGAAUUACUGGGCGUAAAGCGUGCGUAGACGGUCAUGUAAGUCGGAUGUGAAAGCCCCGGGCUCAACCUGGGAAUUGCAUUUGAGACUGCUCUGCUCGGGUGCGGAAGAGGGAAGCGGAAUUUCCGGUGUAGCGGUGAAAUGCGUAGAUAUCGGAAGGAACACCAGUGGCGAAAGCGGCUUCCUGGUCCGACACCGACGUUCAGGCACGAAAGCGUGGGGAGCAAACAGG